UAGUAGUGUAGUAGCGGUAGUAGUAAUAGUAGUGGUAGUAGUAGUGUAGUAGUGGUAGUAGUAGUAAUAGUAGUGGUAGUAGUAGUGUAGUAGUGGUAGUAGUAGUAUAGUAGUGGUAGUAGUAGUGUAGUAGCGGUAGUAGUAGUAUAGUAGUGGUAGUAGUAGUGUAGUAGCGGUAGUAGUAGUAAUAGUAGUGGUAGUAGUAGUGUAGUAGCGGUAGUAGUAGUAAUAGUAGUGGUAGUAGUAGUGGUAGUAGUAGUGUAGUAGCGGUAGUAGUGUAUAGUAGUAGUAGUAGUGUAGUAGUAGUGGUAGUAGUAGUAAGACAUAGCUCUGUUAUUAGUUUACUUAUUUGUUUGUUUAUUUGUUGAUUUUUUUUUGUUGAUUGUUGGUUUGUUAGUGGUUAAUUUGU
ensembl:lncRNA